AUGUUUUUCCUAAUAUUUAGAGGUGUAACUGAAUACUCCGGGGAAUUUUUGUGGCCAUUGAUAUGGUUCAUUACUGGAGGCAUUCACACUGCUUUCUACCAUAAUGUUGCUGCCUGGUUUAUUGAAACCAUAGUGAAGUCAACAAUGCAAACCUUUGCACAGAAAGGAAGAAGAUAUAAAAUGACUAAAAUCUGUGAGAAGACUGGUAGAGCACAUUCUGCCACAUAGAGGGACAGUCAGAACCAUUUAUCUCAGUCCUGUGAACUCCUCACUACCCUCCUGUUCUCUGUUACUACCUUAUUACUCCAGAUUCAAAAGUUGUACUCUCUUGGCAUGUCUUAGCUUUAAGAAGUGAAAACUAGGUCAUCCGUGUUGGCCAUAAUAGAACUAGUAAUUAAUUGUGCGUGUAAAAAAGAUCCUUUCUUGGUGUGAAACCUUUAUUGGCUGACUCUGAUUUGCUUUCUCACAAAUAGCUUUCUCUGACUUAUUUCUGAUAUUCUAGAUAGUUUCUGCCAUACAGAGAACCCAACAGCUAUAUGAUAUUUAUAAUAAAUAAUUAUAGUACAUAUAGCUCCUAAACA
rnacentral:lncRNA from 1 species